CCUACGGGAGGCAGCAGUGGGGGAUAUUGCACAAUGGGGGGAACCCUGAUGCAGCGACGCCGCGUGGGUGAAGAAGCGCCUCGGCGCGUAAAGCCCUGUCAGCAGGGAAGAAAAUGACGGUACCUGAAGAAGAAGCCCCGGCUAACUACGUGCCAGCAGCCGCGGUCAGACGUAGGGGGCAAGCGUUAUCAGGAUUUACUGGGUGGAAAGGGGGCGCAGACGGGGAUGCAAGCCAGGAGUGAAAGCCCGGGGCCCAACCCCGGGACUGCUCUUGGAACUGGGUGGCUGGAGUGCAGGAGGGGCAGGCGGAAUGCCUGGUGUAGCGGUGAAAUGCGUAGAUAUCAGGAGGAACACCGGUGGCGAAGGCGGCCUGCUGGACUGCAACUGACGUUGAGGCCCAAAAUCGUGGGGAGCAAACAGGAUUAGAUACCCGUGUAGUC
rnacentral:rRNA from 1 species